ACACCCAAGGCAUAUAGAGGUUCCCAGGCUAGAAGUCGAAUCAGAGCUACAGCUGCUGUCCUACACCACAGCCACAGCAACACCAGAUCCAAGCCGCAUCUUCGACUUACACCACAGCUCAUGGCAACGCUGGAUCCUGAACCCACUGAGGGAGGCCAGGGAUUGAACCUGCAUCCUCAUGGAUGCUAGUCAGGUUUAUGAAACCUUUUAGCCUCCCCUGCACUGCUAUUCUUGUUUUCCCAUGCUCAUGUCCUGACUUCCCAAUGGUCAAGCAAGGCUGUCUCGAAAUGAAACGUGUGGCUUUCUUAAAGGAAAAGGCACGUGGCAGACGGAGAUUUGUCUGCCUCCAUCACCUGGUCCCACAUUGAGAAAGCACAGUUGUGCUUUUUAUUGGUUUGUGGUCCUCCUCGCUCUCAAAAGCCCCAGAAGAAGAGAAUGAGAAAAUACGAUAAGGCAAUGAAUAAAGGAAGAAAAAUCACCUCAUUAAACAUAAACAGCUCCCAGGAAAUUGAGGCUGAGAGAAGUGACACAGAUGGCCCCAGGUGGCAAGGACAGAGCAGAAUUCAAAUCCAGUUUCUGUCUGGUUCCAAGAACGGUGUUCAUGCUUUAAAAGGUAGGCAAAGGCUAGCUAGGAGGAAAGACAAUGAGGGCCCAGGUCCACCCGCAUUCUGGAGGGUUCUUCUCAUCUCACAGCCCCUUCAGCUUUAUUUGUGUUCCCCCAUCCUUCAUAAGAACAUAUGUUCCCACCCGGUUGAAAUAAGGCCAGUGGAAGACAGAAGCUGGAUUCUCCCAUCUGUUCCUUCUCUUAGGGAACUGGCAAGAGUGAUUAAGAUUCAAAAGGCUCAGGUUGCAAACUCACACCCAGGUGUCUUUGUAAUCUUAUCUUUUAAAGACAGUUAAAUCAGAUCCCACCAGAGAGGAGGCUGCCCUUAUUUCAAAAGAAAGGUGGAAAACAGGAACAAAAAUAAGUAGAAAGGAGAGCCCCUGACCCAACAUUUUGGCAGAUUCCUAAAAGACAGCCAGAGAAUGAGUGCAAAGAAUCUUAACCUCUCUCCUCCACGCUGAGAAGUACAAUCGCCCUGGCUGGCGUUGAUUGAAACUUGACCAUGUGCCUGGCAGGGUGCGAAGACGUUGACAGACAAGUUUUCAUUAAAUCACUGGAACUAUUUUUUAAAUGGGCACCAACCUUAUUGUCUCAGAUGAGGAGCCAGGGACAAAAAGGGGUGAAAUUGUUUGCUCAAGGCACGUAGAAAGCAGGAGGGAUGAAAUUAAAGAUGACUCAAGUGGUUCCAAAACACGAACUCAAAUCAUAACUUAUAAGGUUUUUGCAGACCAAGUUUCAAAUGCAAGGAGCUUAUAGGGACAGAGGGUUUCAGCAAACACUAGCAGGGAGGAGAGAACAAAACAGGGGUGGGAGGUAGGCAAUACAAAGUCCAUUACCAAGCUUGUUGAUAGGUAGAUGGAGCUCAUUUCCAUCAGAGAACCCAGGAAGUGAGCAGAGAAUGCAGGGUUUUGCACCAGGGAUAAGGACAUCAGGACCAGUUUAGGGACCAGCUAGCCAAAGACGGCCCACUGCUUGUUUUUGCAAAUAAAGUUUUAUUGGAACACAGUCACACCCAUAUGGUACUGUCUUUGGCUGCUUUCCUGCUACAAUGGCAGAGUUAAGUGGUUGUAACAGAGACCAUAUGGACCCCAAAUCCUAAAAUAUUUACUACACUUGGUCCUUCAUUGGAAAAUACUUGCCAGCCCCUGAUCUCAAGCUAUCCCACCUAAGAGGCAGGAAUGCCAGGAUAUUUAAAUCCUGAAUCAUGCAGUGAAGGCUGCUAGGGGAAGGGUGAUCUGAUUCCCUGGCUCUUCCAACCUGGCAUCUGUGUGGGCAGAGCUGGCUCCAGAGGCUCCCAAAAGACGCAUGCAGAAGACAAAAGCGGCUGCCUUGAAAUGGUAAAUGCCCCCAGGGGUUCCGGUAGGGUGGGCACCAAUAGCCUUUGUUACAAAAGUAAACUUGAAAACUGCCAACUGUCACCCAUCAGCCACAGAUUUGCUUUGUUUGGCCAUCUGGUGUUUUCCAAAACUGAAUGAGGAAGAGACUUAUUCUUUGAAAAUCCAAAUAUCCAUCUUUUCCUUAAAAAUCAGAAAAUCGGGCACCAUUCGUUCUCCUCCAUUCCCAUAUGGCCAUUUAGAAAUGGCAGGCAUUGUCCAGAUGAAUUGACCAGCUUGGAUGGACUGGAUUAAGUGCCUGGCUCUAGGUAUGCAUCUGAGUUUGAGAUCCCUGGUGAACACAUUAUCACCACCCUCAUAGGCUAAAAGAGGUUACAUGACUUGCCCAAGGACAUGUGACAAGUCAGUGGAUGAGCUGGAACUUGGCUUCCCCUUUGCUUUCCUGAGAAGUCUGAGAUCACAGCGCCCUCCUGUCCCC
rnacentral:lncRNA from 1 species